CCUGGACAUUGGCGUUAAGAACCUCCGCUUGGUGCUGGUCCUCGCUAUCCGGAGCGCCUGGAGACAUGUGCCCCUGUUACGGCCACCAUGGUGCCUCCUCUCCUGUUGACCUGGGCUGCCUGCGCCCCUCCGCCUCACUCCCUGCCUCAAUGCCUCAGUCGCGAGCAACAACACAAGCAGCAAACGAGACCGGUGCUGGAUGUGGAGGACCUCCACCUUUGCGUCCAUGUCCUGCCUUCAUGGAGCUGCAGCCACCGUCGACGACCUUGUGGAAAACCUCCCCGAGCUGCGGCCAGCGGUGAUUUCCGCGGCCUGAUGCUGGCUUGACACCACCCCGUCCCACUGCUGUCGGCCACAUCCCAAACUUGCACCUGCUAGUUUGGCAACUAAAUAGAUUAGCCAUGGGCAAUGAGAAGACUCUCAGUAACAUCAUGGCCAUUUGCCAUGUUGACUCUGGGAAGGUGACCACCAUUGGCCAUAUGGUUUGAGAAGGAAGCCAUUGAGACCCGCCCUCUUUGCAGGUUCGCUCUUGGAGUGAAGCAGCUGCUAUAAUGUUUCUUACUAGAAAACCUUGUAUACUACUUGCAAGAAGAGGACCAAGAAUGGAUGCAUACAAUACAGGAAGAGAAAGUGACGCUGAAUUCUACUGUGAAGCUUCAAGUUUUCAAUAUGGUAAGGUAGCGGAACCAUGGCGUCCGCGUUCUGCCUUCAUGGAGCUGCAGCCACAGUCGACGACCUUCUGGAAUACCUCCCUGAGCUGCGGCUGCCGGUGAUUUCCGUGGCCUGCUGCUGCCUUGAGAUCACUCAGUCCCCACGCUGUUGGCCACAUCCCAAACUUGCAGCUGCUAGUUUGGCAACUAAACAGAUCAGCCAUGGGCAAGGAGAAGACUCAUGAAUAUCAUGGCCAUAUGUCAAGGUGAC